CCUACGGGUGGCAGCAGUGAGGAAUAUUGGUCAAUGGACAAGAGUCUGAACCAGCCAAGUAGCGUGAAGGAUGACUGCCCUAUGGGUUGUAAACUUCUUUUAUAUGGGAAUAAAAUGUUCCACGUGUGGGAUUUUGUAUGUACCAUAUGAAUAAGGAUCGGCUAACUCCGUGCCAGCAGCCGCGGUAAUACGGAGGAUCCGAGCGUUAUCCGGAUUUAUUGGGUUUAAAGGGAGCGUAGGUGGAUUGUUAAGUCAGUUGUGAAAGUUUGCGGCUCAACCGUAAAAUUGCAGUUGAAACUGGCAGUCUUGAGUACAGUAGAGGUGGGCGGAAUUCGUGGUGUAGCGGUGAAAUGCUUAGAUAUCACGAAGAACUCCGAUUGCGAAGGCAGUUCACUGGACUGCAACUGACACUGAGGCUCGAAAGUGUGGGUAUCAAACAGGAUUAGAUACCCUAGUAGUC
rnacentral:rRNA from 1 species